AAUUCUGGACAUUGGGGGAAACCCUGCUCCAGCCAUCCCGCGUGUAUGAAGAUGGCCUUCGGGUUGUAAAGUACUUUUGGCAGAGAAGAAAAGGUACCUCCUAAUACGAGGUACAGUUGACUGUAUCUGCAGAAUAAGCAUCGGCUAACUAAGUGCCAGCAGCCGCUGUAAUACGUAUGGUGCAAGCGUUAAUCGGUAUUACUGGGCGUAAAGCGUGUGUAGGCGGUUCGAAAAGAAAGAUGUGAAAUCCCAGGGCUCAACCUUGGAAGUGCAUUUGUAACUGCCGAGCUAGAGUAUGUCAGAGGGGGGUAGAAUUCCACGUAUAGCAGUAAAAUGCGUAGAUAUGUGGAGGAAUACCGAUGGCGAAGGCAGCCCCCUGGGAUAAUACUGACGCUCAGACACGAGAGCGUGGGGAGCAAACA
rnacentral:rRNA from 1 species